rnacentral:rRNA from 1 species
UACGUAGGGCGCAAGCGUUGUCCGGAAUUAUUGGGCGUAAAGAGCUCGUAGGUGGCCUGUCGCGUCUGCCGUGAAAGCCCGUGGCUUAACUGCGGGUCUGCGGUGGAUACGGGCAGGCUAGAGGCUGGUAGGGGCAAGCGGAAUUCCUGGUGUAGCGGUGAAAUGCGCAGAUAUCAGGAAGAACACCAAUGGCGAAGGCAGCUCUCUGGGACGGUACUGACGCUGAGACGCGAAAGCGAGGGGAGCGAACAGG